GAGGGGUAACAUGAGGAAGCUUGCUUUCUUGAUGACGACCAGCGAACGGGUGCGUAACACGUAUGGAACCUACCUUAUACAGGGGCAUAGCCCAGAGAAAUCUGGAUUAAUUUCCCAUAAUAUCUAAAAGUGGCAUCACUUUUAAAUUAAAGCUUCGGCGGUAUAAGAUGGCCAUGCGGCCCAUUAGUUAGUUGGUGAGGUAACGGCUCACCAAGACCAUGAUGGGUAGGGGUUCUGAGAGGAUUAUCCCCCACACUGGUACUGAGACACGGACCAGACUCCUACGGGAGGCAGCAGUGAGGAAUAUUGCGCAAUGGACGAAAGUCUGACGCAGCCAUGCCGCGUGCAGGAUGACAGCCCUAUGGGUCGUAAACUGCUUUUAUAUGGGAAGAAACCCUUUCACGUGUGAAGGCUGACGGUACCAUAUGAAUAAGCACCG
rnacentral:rRNA from 1 species